AGGCGACCCGAGAGGCAGAGGAGCUGAAAUUGACCCUGGGAUUCAUCCAGAAAUUUGACAUCUUUCCAAUUAAUGACUUCUGUCCUGCCAAAGGAUGUAAGCCGUGCCUGCAUGACUGGAUCUUCUUUCAGAAGAAAUGCUACCUGUUUUACGACGAACCGGCUCCUUGGAAGACCUGGGAACAAAGUCGAAGGUUCUGUCAGGACAGACGAGCAGAUUUGGUUGUAAUUGAUGAUCUGGAGGAACAGGAAUUUGUCAGCAAACAUGUCAAAUCCUACUUUGAUAUUCAGUGGGGAUACUGGCUGGGGUUGCAACAAACUAACAACACCUGGACCUGGGUUGAUGGACACGUGGACACACUUGGCUGUGCAAAUCGUCUGUUAGGACCCGACACCGCCUUCGAGACGCAGCUCAUCCUUAUUCUCCUUAUUCUGCCCCUGCUUGUAUGUGUAGGCAAGGUCUGCAGAUAAAUUAUCGUCCAGAAAAGCUGCACGAUUCCCUUCAAAGCUUUACUUAAGACUCAAUGUAAAACUGUAAAAAAACAACAA